rnacentral:tRNA from 1 species
GGUAUGGUGGCUCAGUGGUUAGAGCACCCGCCUCAUGAACGGGAGGUCGUGGGUUCGAUCCCCGGCCGAGUCA